AGACAAUUUGGAGAAGAGAGACUGGGGAGAUAGUUCUGUUGAUAAAAUGUUUGUUGUGCAUGUGAGGAUAUGAGUUCAAUACCCACCAUCUACAUAAAGAUCUCGAUAAGGAGAAACACUCAACCUUAUCCUAUACCACCUCUGUUGAUCUUCACCAGAAUUCCCUACUAUUUCAGCUUGGAUUCUCUACUCCCCGUUCUCUGUUGAUAAAAUCUGCAAGCAUUUUGGAUCCAGGAACGAUACAGAAGGCUCUAACAACUGAAUUGUCUACCACCCUCACAUGCUCAAUGACUCAUCAGCACAAAAGAGUUUAGUGGUGGAUCAAAAUAGACCAGCUCUCCUUUGCUCCUAUCCUGGUCUCUGUCUUGUAAAAGGUGGCUGCUUCCAGUUUCAAUUCAAAGUUUUAAAUCAAGUGAAGAAAGAUAUGAUUCUCAUCUUAUGAUGGCAUGGCUUAUGACUUCUAAAAACUUCUCAUUUGGGGUUUCUCCAUGUUGCAGACACAACCCUUACCAAUACCUCUUUCAUACGGCACUGAAGCCCUUGAGCAACCACAUAGCACCAAGUAAUUGCAUCUCUUUAGGUUUUUAGGUCACUGAAAAGCACAGAGACACUACAGAUUUGGGCUUUGGCCAGCUUUCCUGCAGUUUUCUUGGGGUGAUCUUCCCUGCAGACUCACCUGAAAUGAUCUUACAGCAGCUGCUGCUCUUCACCUUCAUAGUAAGUCACAGGAUAGGUUAUGCAUUUCCGGGGAAAGCUGAAAUUCAGCAGAUGUUGGGUCAGGUGGAAUAUUCCUAGUCUGACAUUACAGAAAAAUCUUGUCUCGAAGUUUGAGAAUUAUUUCUGUGUGGAGUUUCACUCCACUGCUAUUACUCAUUCCCUUCUCCCCCCAGUGCAAGAGAAACAACUCAAGGGGAUAAAGUUAAGGUUUCCUGGAUUAAAAGGCAGACAGACAUACAGUGAGUGCCAUGGGUUGAAGACUAAUUUUCUAAGGACUAACUAGUUUCCUGGACAGGCAAGGA